UAAGAAGUAAAUUUUAAAUUGGGAUUAUUAAUAGUUAUAUUCUUUAAAAUUAAAGAUUUUGGCGGUAUUUUAGUCUUUUCAGAGGAACCUGUUCUAUAAUUGAUAAUCCACGAUUAAUUAAACUUAUAUUAUUAAUUUGUAUAACGUCGUGAAAGAAUAUUUUAAAAGAGUUAAUAUUCAAUAUUUAUUAUUAUAAGAAAAAUCAGAUCAUGUUGCAGUUUAUAUAUAAGAAGAAAUGGGUUACAAUAUUAAUAAAUAUACAGAUUAAUUUAUUUAAAAUUAUUAUGAAGGUGGAUUUGAAAGUAAUUAUUUAUAUAUAUUUAUAAUGAUUUAAGCUCUAAAAUAUGU
rnacentral:rRNA from 2 species